rnacentral:rRNA from 1 species
UACGUAGGUGGCAAGCGUUGUCCGGAAUUAUUGGGCGUAAAGCGUGCGUAGGUGGUUACCUAAGCGCAAGGUUUAAUCUUGAGGCUCAACCUCAUUCUGCCUUGCGAACUGGGCUACUUGAGUGCUGGAGGGGAAAGCGGAGUUCCUAGUGUAGCGGUGAAAUGCGUAGAUAUUAGGAAGAACACCGGUGGCGAAGGCGGCUUUCUGGACAGUAACUGACACUGAGGCACGAAAGCGUGGGGAGCAAACAGGAUUAGAUACCCUGGUAGUCCCUGA